rnacentral:rRNA from 1 species
UACGAAGGGGGCUAGCGUUGCUCGGAAUGACUGGGCGUAAAGGGCGUGUAGGCGGUUUUCGCAGUCGGGGGUGAAAUUCCUGGGCUUAACCUGGGGGCUGCAUUCGAGACGCGGGGACUGGAGUGGGGAAGAGGGUCGUGGAAUUCCCAGUGUAGAGGUGAAAUUCGUAGAUAUUGGGAAGAACACCGGUGGCGAAGGCGGCGACCUGGUCCUUGACUGACGCUGAGGCGCGAAAGCGUGGGGAGCAAACAGG